CGGCCUCCAGAUGUUCUGGGUUCGGGCCCCAUCAUCCCCUGCCAGCCGGGCCAGUAGCAGAAAUGCUGGAAGGCGACGUGCCAAACGUCUGGACUCAGCCAGGGAGGUCUUGCAUAACGGAGGACAAUUUUGGAGUUGCACCAAAGUUUCCCAGUUAUUCUGCAGGCUCCAUCCAUGGGGAUUGUGUGAAACGGUGCUGAGCAAAGCUUCAUUGUUAGGGUAAUUGCAGAACCUGAAGCUCUUGCCACACUCUGUGCACUUAUACGGCUUCUCUCCUGUGUGGAUUCUUCGAUGAGAAGUUAGAGAGCCGCUCUGAGAAAAGCUCUUGCCA